rnacentral:rRNA from 2 species
ACUUAAGCAUAUCAUA